rnacentral:misc_RNA from 1 species
AAAGUCGUAACAAGGUCUCCGUUGGUGAACCAGCGGAGGGAUCAUUACCGAAGUUACCCUUCAAAACCCAUUGUGAACCAUACCUCUUGCCGCGUUGUCUCGGCGGGAGGCGCUGGGGCUUCGGCUCCGCGUCCCCGCCGGCAGCGCCAAACUCUAAACUGCAAAGCGUACUGCAUGCUCUGAUUUACAAAAAAAACAAGUUAAAACUUUCAACAACGGAUCUCUUGGUUCUG